rnacentral:rRNA from 1 species
UACGAGGAGGCUAGCGUUGUUCGGAAUUACUGGGCGUAAAGCGCACGUAGGCGGCGACUCAAGUCAGAGGUGAAAGCCCGGGGCUCAACCCCGGAACUGCCUUUGAAACUAGGUUGCUAGAAUCUUGGAGAGGUCAGUGGAAUUCCGAGUGUAGAGGUGAAAUUCGUAGAUAUUCGGAAGAACACCAGUGGCGAAGGCGACUGACUGGACAAGUAUUGACGCUGAGGUGCGAAAGCGUGGGGAGCAAACAGG